AUUGAACGCUGGCGGUAUGCUUAACACAUGCAAGUCGAACGGUAACAGGCCUUCGGGCGCUGACGAGUGGCGGACGGUGAGUAACGCGUAGGAAUCUGCCUCAUAGUGGGGGACAACGUGGGGAAACUCACGCUAAUACCGCAUACGCCCUACGGGGGAAAGCGGGGGAUCUUCGGACCUCGCGCUAUGAGAUGAGCCUGCGUUAGAUUAGCUAGUUGGUAGGGUAAAGGCCUACCAAGGCGACGAUCUAUAGCUGGUCUGAGAGGACGAUCAGCCACACUGGGACUGAGACACGGCCCAGACUCCUACGGGAGGCAGCAGUGGGGAAUAUUGGACAAUGGGCGCAAGCCUGAUCCAGCAAUACCGCGUGCAGGAUGAAUGCCUUCGGGUUGUAAACUGCUUUUAUUAGUGAAGAAUAUGACGGUAACUAAUGAAUAAGGGUCGGCUAACUACGUAGCCAGCAGCCGCGGUAA
rnacentral:rRNA from 1 species